AGCCGGGGGAAACCGGGAAGGCCGGGUGGGAACCGGGAGCAGUGGGAGGAAGGGUAGGCUGUGGGAGAGGGGAGCAGUCCAGAUUGGCGGGAUGCCGGGAGCCGCUGGAAGACACAGGUGCAGAGGGUUGUCCCGGCACUUGCAGGGACACCUGCACUGUGUGCCAGAGAAAGUUUAGGUUGGAUAUUGGGAAAAUUUCUUCGCUGAAAGGAUUGUCCAGCCAUGACACCGGUGGAGUCCCCAUCUCCGGAGGGGUUUAAAAAGACAGAUGUGACACGUGAGGACAUGGCUCUGCUGUGAAAGCCUGGGCUGUUCCCACCCUGUGUCCAGGGAAGCAGAAAGGUGAAAGCCAUCGCACUACAGCCCUUCCCAACCCCCAGCAGUCCUGGUGCUGGAAGCAGGAGCACCCACAUUCCCAGCAAGUCCAGCCAUGUGGCACCACAUGCCAUUCCUAAUCUGGAACACAGAUGGCAUCCCCCAGACGCACCUACUGUGAGCCCAGCCCGCAGCAGAUGCCCAGGAUUCACUCACCCCAGCACAUGUGCAAGUCCUGCCUGGGGGAACAAGGGCUGCACACGUGUAUGCCCAGCUGCACGGGGGAUGUGUACACAGCUGCAGGUGUGCCCAGGUUCCCGUGUGCGCGGGCGUGGCACUGCAUGCGUGCGUGCAGAAACGCCACUGCACGUGUUUGUGUGCCCCCGUGUGUGAAUAAACCGUGAGCACGAGUACAUGAGUGUGCCCAUGCAUGUGUGAGUGCAGGGGUGUGUGUGUGUGUGCGCGGUGUUCGGUGUCUGUCCCUGUCUGUCUGUCCGUCCGUGCGCGCCCGGGCGCCCCCCGCCUGC